UCGCCUGAUCAAUAAA
rnacentral:tRNA from 1 species